UCUGAGGCUUAAGCCCUGGGUGACCUU
rnacentral:piRNA from 1 species